rnacentral:lncRNA from 1 species
UGACAUCUGGCAAUCCCCCACUGCAGAGGCAAUUUUAAGAAAAUCUGCAGAUAAUAAAAACGUUUCAGGUAAUUGGAUCGUUGACAGCGGAGCGGCCUUGGACUGAGAAUGUGGGCUAGCCCUUAAAAGCAAGAGCUCUAAGCUGCCUAAGAAACUGUGGCAUUACCAGGCCAUCAAAUAAGUCAGGAUUAUCAAAGACGUCUUCCUUGCUUGUGAUUAUAUAUAAUACAUGGAUGAAAGCAAACAGGGAGAUUGGAACAGAAAAGGUAAUUAAGUUAAAAAAUGCAAAGCUAAAAUUGAACUCCUUGGGAGGUAGGAGCCACAAAUGUAACUUAUAACUGAAAAGCCCUAUUAAGGUAAUGCUUCAGAU